AGAGUGUGAAGGGCUUUAACAAAAAAGAACUCAAUCUAACAUUCUGAAGUGAACAGAAUUUUUCAUUAGUAAUAGAUAAUCUCUAACACAGAUUUUUCUUACUGUUUUAAUGCUCUUAAAUUGUUAGCCUAAGGUUGCAUUUAUUCAAACUUUCUAUCCGUAAUAUGGACUCCUUACUAGAUGCUUAGUUGACAGAAGGCUGUUGCUUGUAUAUAUCUGCCAUGUAUUUACCCUUUUUACAGUGUGUAAAUCACAAAUGCAUUAAUUCUGCAUUCUCAGUCAGUAAAUGCAGAUUGCUUGGAUGCAGGCAGAUUCAUCAAAAGGUAUGUUGUGGUCAUCAUGACUCUUCAGUUGUCUUCUCAUUUAUAUAUAUUAUUACUAUUAAUAUCUGUGUAAUGCUGUUUCAUUUCGCCUAUCAACUUCAGAUGUUUCUCCUGGAGGUCUUGGAUUAGUUCCACAACACAUGACCUCAAUAGAGAGGGAAAUAAGACAAGGUACAAGAUGGAUGAGGUAAAAGUGUGGGUUUGUUAUAUGACUGUUCAUUUCUAAAAAGUCUGAAACCUUUUGGUGAGAAGAACUGCCUUCUAGCAUGACAAUUUCAAGUUGGGAGUCUCUUGUUUCUAUGACAAUGAACAUUUCCCUCCCCAUAAACUUCGAGAAGAAUUACUGGAAUUUCUGAUAAGCCAAUAAGAAGUGCUUUUUCAACACUCAUUCUGUUUGGUCAUUUUCCAGUGAAAACAGCAUAAAAGACUUCAGGAAAAGAAUGCAGUACAGUGCUGGAGGUUUUGUUAGGAAAAAGAAAGUAAAAUCAGGGUUUUGGGUUUUGUUAAUUAAAAUUAAAAAUCAGUAAUUCAAAUACCAAUUAAAAGGUCUUCUGGUUUCAUACUUCUACUGAGUUUUUAUGUUAUGCUUAUGGUACUUAUUUACUAAAGUACUCUUCAGAACAGAUGAAUCCAUAAAAUUUAAAAAUGUCUCCUGUAAGUAUGUGUGAAAUAUCGCAGAGGUUUUGUGUACAGUUAAUCUGACUUGAAGAAGUGUAACAUCUGCUUUGCCUCAGUAGAGAUUGAUAUUAGUGUAUUUGUUUGAAGAGUAAUAAAAUUAAUGAUUCUGAAUGUAAAAGUGGGAGAAACAAAAGUGUUUGUUCUCUUAGGAAACACAGCAGAUCCAGUUGGGUCAAUAUUAAGUAGAUUACUAGUGAGGAAUAAGCAAGUUUCUCAUCAGUAGCUGUAGGAACUGGCUUCAGUGAGCUGCAGAAUUCCACCCUUUGUUUGUGUGUAUUGAGGAGACUGGUAAAGUGAUUUGCAGCUCAGACAUUAAAACAGAAGUCUUCACAUAUAUCUCUCUAGACACUAAUAUUAUACUUGUUAUUAAACCAUCUGAAUAGCUUCCAGAUUCUAAAAAUCUUUUACAAAAAGAGCUUAUUCAGAUGUCUGUCCCAGCCAGCCUCAGUGAAUUUCAGUGCGGGGACAAAAGUAGGGACUACAUAAAACUUGCUUGCAUCUUAGGCUUCCUGAUACAGGUUACUAGAUAUUGCUCUUGAAAACUCUAAGGAUAUUGCUGGUUCUUGCAAUGGUAGUGAUUAUUACAUCAUGUGUGCUUUGUUUUUGUGGGUUUUAUUUUAAGUCUGUCUAGCUUUUCAGAAAGGAUCUGUCUAAAAAUGUAUGGUUUACCAAUAGAAUUGGCAUUAUAUUUUUUCAAUGCAAUUGGAAAUUUAAGUAAUUUAUCCUGAACAAAACUUUAUCACUGAAAGCAUUAAUGGUAUUAGUGUGCCAGGACAGAAAUCAGAUCUCACAGAGACAGGUACUGCAAGCGAAACAGUCACUGCUGUUAUGAGUUGAUAGAAGCUGAUGGGACACAGUGGGUUGAUGGGAAGGGAUAGUGAAAUGGCUUGCCAGAGAUCUCAGAUCUAUCAAGAGCACAAAGAAGAAUCCUGCAGUGUAAGUUAAAAGUCUAUGCAAACAGCACUGCAACCAAGUAAGGAUGUGAAACCGAAACAUUGUGUAAGGCAAAGCAACCUGUCCUCUUAGAGUUUCUGUUGAUCGCUCGAGUAAAAUAUUUUUGUAGGUCUUUACAUUAAAAAGAACUGGCCCUACAUUGAAGCCCUGCACAUCCUCCUCUUUCAGUGCUCCAGGCCCGUGCUGUGUUAAAGGUUAUUAGUGAGGGAUCAGAGUAGGAUUUUACCAUUUACAAACAUCUCAACUUAGCUCUUGCGGAAUCCACCCUCUUUUUCAGGAGAAAGCAGUUGCAUAACAUUAAUGAUUGCAUCCAGCUGAGAUUCUGCAGUGUGGGUUUUUUUUUUUUUUUUUUUUUUAA